rnacentral:pre_miRNA from 1 species
UAUAGUUACAUUUGUAUGGACUUGGAACGUUUGCCGCUAGGGGCGCUGUUCCAAAUGCAUACAAAUUUCAGUUA